rnacentral:rRNA from 1 species
AGUGAACGCUGCCGGUAGGCCUAACACAUGCAAGUCGAACGGCAGCACAGGAGAGCUUGCUCUCUGGGUGGCGAGUGGCGGACGGGUGAGGAAUACAUCGGAAUCUACUCUGUCGUGGGGGAUAACGUAGGGAAACUUACGCUAAUACCGCAUACGACCUACGGGUGAAAGCAGGGGACCUUCGGGCCUUGCGCGAUUGAAUGAGCCGAUGUCGGAUUAGCUAGUUGGCGGGGUAAAGGCCCACCAAGGCGACGAUCCGUAGCUGGUCUGAGAGGAUGCACAGCCACACUGGAACUGAGAAACGGUCCAGACUCCUACGGGAGGCAGCAGUGGGGAAUAUUGGACAAUGGGCGCAAGCCUGAUCCAGCCAUACCGCGUGGGUGAAGAAGGCCUUCGGGUUGUAAAGCCCUUUUGUUGGGAAAGAAAUCCAGCUGGCUAAUACCCGGUUGGGAUGACGGUACCCAAAGAAUAAGCACCGGCUAACUUCGUGCCAGCCGCCGCGGUAA